rnacentral:rRNA from 1 species
UACGUAGGGGGCAAGCGUUGUCCGGAUUUAUUGGGCGUAAAGAGCGUGUAGGCGGCCAAGCAGGUCCGCUGUGAAAACUCGAGGCUCAACCUCGAGAGGUCGGUGGAAACCGUUUGGCUAGAGUCCGGAAGAGGAGAGUGGAAUUCCCGGUGUAGCGGUGAAAUGCGCAGAUAUCAGGAGGAACACCGGUGGCGAAGGCGGCCAGCUGGCUCUGACCUGACGCUGAGGCGCGAAGGCGUGGGGAGCGAACAGG